rnacentral:rRNA from 1 species
GAUGAACGCUGGCGGCGUGCCUAAUACAUGCAAGUCGAGCGAACAGACGAGGAGCUUGCUCCUCUGACGUUAGCGGCGGACGGGUGAGUAACACGUGGACAACCUACCUAUAAUACUGGGAUAACUUCGGGAAACCGGAGCUAAUACCGGAUAAUAUAUUGAACCGCAUGGUUCAAUAGUGAAAGACGGUUUUGCUGUCACUUAUAGAUGGAUCCGCGCCGCAUUAGCUAGUUGGUAAGGUAACGGUUUACCAAGGCGACGAUGCGUAGCCGACCUGAGAGGGUGAUCGGCCACACUGGAACUGAGACACGGUCCAGACUCCUACGGGAGGCAGCAGUAGGGAAUCUUCAGCAAUGGGCGAAAGCUUGACGGAGCAACGCCGCGUGAGUGAUGAAGGUCUUCGGAUCGUAAAACUCUGUUAUUAGGGAAGAACAAAUGUGUAAGUAACUAUGCACGUCUUGACGGUACCUAAUCAGAAAGCCACGGCUAACUACGUG